rnacentral:rRNA from 1 species
CAGCAGCCGCGGGAAUACAGAGGGUGCAAGCGUUAAUCGGAUUUACUGGGCGUAAAGCGUGCGUAGGUGGCUGUUUAAGUCGGAUGUGAAAGCCCUGGGCUUAACCUGGGAACUGCAUUCGAUACUGGCAAGCUAGAGUGUGUCAGAGGAUGGUGGAAUUCCCGGUGUAGCGGUGAAAUGCGUAGAGAUCGGGAGGAACAUCAGUGGCGAAGGCGGCCAUCUGGGACAACACUGACGCUGAGGCACGAAAGCGUGGGGAGCAAACAGGAUUAGAUACCCGCGUAGUCCCUGUCUCUUAUAC